UACGAAGGGGGCUAGCGUUGCUCGGAAUUACUGGGCGUAAAGCGCGCGCAGGCGGCUAUCCAAGUCAGUGGUGAAAGCCCGGAGCUCAACUCCGGAACUGCCAUUGAAACUGUUUAGCUUGAGGACGAGAGAGGUGAGUGGAAUUCCCAGUGUAGAGGUGAAAUUCGUAGAUAUUGGGAAGAACACCGGUGGCGAAGGCAGCUCUCUGGGUCCCUACCGACGCUGGGGUGCGAAAGCGUGGGGAGCAAACAGG
rnacentral:rRNA from 1 species